rnacentral:piRNA from 1 species
UGGCCCUGGAAGCAAAGGAAGCCAC